UACGAAGGGGGCUAGCGUUGCUCGGAAUUACUGGGCGUAAAGCGCACGUAGGCGGCUUGUUAAGUCAGGGGUGAAAUCCUGGAGCUCAACUCCAGAACUGCCUUUGAUACUGGCGAGCUUGAGUUCGGGAGAGGUGAGUGGAACUGCGAGUGUAGAGGUGAAAUUCGUAGAUAUUCGCAAGAACACCAGUGGCGAAAGCGGCUCACUGGCCCGAUACUGACGCUGAGGUGCGAAAGCGUGGGGAGCAAACAGG
rnacentral:rRNA from 1 species